rnacentral:sRNA from 1 species
CUCUUGCGUUAACGAUUGAAGCGGCAUCCUUUUUUUCUUCUUUCAGAAAAAAAGAUAUAGUGAAAAGCGUGUAAAAAC